AUAAGCGGAGGAAAAGAAACCAACAGGGAUUGCCUCAGUAACGGCGAGUGAAGCGGCAAAAGCUCAAAUUUGAAAUCCCCCGGGAAUUGUAAUUUGAAGAGAUUUGGGUCCGGCCGGCAGGGGUUAAGUCCACUGGAAAGUGGCGCCACAGAGGGUGACAGCCCCGUGAACCCCUUUAACGCCCUCAUCCCAGAUCUCCAAGAGUCGAGUUGUUUGGGAAUGCAGCUCUAAGUGGGUGGUAAAUUCCAUCUAAAGCUAAAUACCGGCGAGAGACCGAUAGCGAACAAGUACAGUGAUGGAAAGAUGAAAAGCACUUUGAAAAGAGAGUGAAAAAGUACGUGAAAUUGUUGAAAGGGAAGGGCUUGCAAGCAGACACUUAACUGGGCCAGCAUCGGGGCGGCGGGGAGCAAAACCACCGGGGAAUGUACCUUUCGAGGAUUAUAACCCCGGCCCUUACUCCCAUACCACCCCGAGGCCUGCAAUCUAAGGAUGCUGGCGUAAUGGUUGCAAGUCGCCCGUCUUGA
rnacentral:rRNA from 1 species